GACGAACCGUGCGAACGUUAUUCGGAAUCACUGGGCUUAAAGCGCGUGUAGGUGGGGCGGCACGUCGGGUGCUGAAAUCCCCCGGCUCAACCGGGGAAGGGGCGCCGAUACGACCGCCCUCGAGGGACGUAGGGGGAGCCGGAACUUCCGGUGGAGCGGUGAAAUGCGUUGAGAUCGGAAGGAACGCCCGUGGCGAAAGCGGGCUCCUGGACGUCUUCUGACACUGAGACGCGAAAGCCAGGGGAGCGAACGGA
rnacentral:rRNA from 1 species